GGGGAUUUAGCUCAGCGGUAUAAGCACCUGCUUUGCAAGCAGGCAGCCGUUAGUUCAAUCCCUG
rnacentral:tRNA from 1 species